GGGGGUGCGUGGGUGGGGUAAAUCUCUCAACACACACACGCACACACACACACACACACACACACACACACACACACACACACACACACACACACACACACACACUCUCACCCAUAAGUGACACAGCUGUCGCUGGUACUAUAGUGCAGAGAGACGAGGGGCCAACAGGUGCAACAGCCAUGACCUUCGCUGCUAGUGUCAGCAGGUGACUUCCACUGGCUGGGUGAGCUCAUGAAAAAGAAGGAAGUGUGUCCACACAGAAGAAUGGCAUCAGUUAGUCCCUUCGUGAUUUUAUUCUUUGUUUUUAUUUUUUUCUCCUCCAGUGUAGAUGGCUUGUAAGCCCAUGUUUUGAUGACACCCAGAUCCGAGUCUAAUCAGAUGAACUUGAGCAAAUAGCAAAGCCAUUGUCGCCUGCCCUCCUAAUGAUGAGGAAGACGAUGCAAUUUAUGCACUCCAGGUUACCACAGUGUUGGCCAUGCCUACUAAAGCCAUUUUGUUUUUUAGGAGUUCUAUUGUUUCUCUGCCUUGAAAUCGUGUUACAACCAAAAACGUGCCUUUUAAUUUACCUCAUUUGGUAAGUUUUGUUCUUAUACAAGUGUCAGUUGCAGUAUUAGUAGAAAUUAGCACCAGAUAGUUGGAAAAAAAGUCGGUUUGGACCAAAGAACGUGCCUUUUUUUAUUGUUUACUCCAUGGAGACGUGGACACCUGAUAUGUGACCAGGACCGCUAAAUGGCCUGUAUGGAGACGGAUUUUAAACUUUCCUUACAAUGUUAUGGCUUUUUUGUUGUGCAAUUUUAAGAUGUCUUAUUUCAAUUUUAUACCAUGCUUGUGUGUUAUGUUUUUUGUCAUAUUUCAUAACUGAUGAAUUCUCAUUCAAUAAAGUAAUUUAUGUUUAUUAAAACUCAUGAUUUACAAUCCUCUGAUCCAGAUUUCCAAUUCCCAAUGGAAGAAUAGCAAUAACUCAAACAACCAAUCCCAACCACUAUGAAAAAAAUCCCCCAGUAAAAAAGCAGCAUACCAAUGGAAUUGUCAUAUUGUGCCGUUGGUUAUCCUGUUAACCAUUAACUGGUUGACUUAGGCUCAACAGGAGGGGUCUUUUGAUUUCUAGUGUUAUAAGUCAAUAGACCAUUGUACUGGAGGUGAAUCGAACGAUGUACAGGAACAACUGAUUUGCACCUGCUCCUGGUGUCCACCUGCCACACGUUCUCAGACGCACUAGACAAACACUAAAGGGUAACGCAAUCCAGCUUCUGGCUUCUGCUGUUCCCUUUUUUGUCUUAUUGCCUAAUUGCUUGUCUGCUGUGUGUAUGUGUGUGCACUUUCGGUAUGUGUGUUUGUUUGUGUGUGCGUACGUGCGUGCAAGUUCUUGUGUGUGUAUGUAGAUUGGAUUGUGUGUUUGGAAAGAUCCAAAACCUGGUUCUGUAUACGGAACCGUCCUAGAAGGUCAGUAGGUUUGAACACAUUUUUUACUGGUUUCUAAUGAAACAAGACGUGCUGUCAUCCUGGUGUUGUAAGGUGUUGCGUCUCAGCCUCUGGUUUAUCGUAGUGCUCUCCUCCAUUUCCUUUGCAUAGGCCGUGAGUCACCACACAGUGCUCAGACUGCGGCUGAACUCAGCUAAGUCAACCAGCCCGGUCCCUGUCUGCCUGUCCGCCUGUCUGCGUGUCUGUAAGGGAGGUGCGUGGGCGUAGGAACGGGGCCAGAAGAAAGUGAGAGAAAUUAAAAUACAUCAUGGCUCCUCUGCGUGCUCCUCCGGGGGAGAUGGGAGGUCGGUGGAGUCUGAAAUCUGAGAGCUCUUUCCUGCAGCGCUGCUAACACUGCCAGAACACUCACUGUAAUUUACCAAAAGUGCCUGCUAUUUAUUCCAUAAAGCAUGUGUUUAACAUUC